rnacentral:rRNA from 1 species
UACGAAGGGGGCUAGCGUUGCUCGGAAUCACUGGGCGUAAAGGGUGCGUAGGCGGGUCUUUAAGUCAUGGGUGAAAUCCUGGAGCUCAACUCCAGAACUGCCUUUGAUACUGAGGAUCUUGAGUUCGGGAGAGGUGAGUGGAACUGCGAGUGUAGAGGUGAAAUUCGUAGAUAUUCGCAAGAACACCAGUGGCGAAGGCGGCUCACUGGCCCGAUACUGACGCUGAGGAGCGAAAGCGUGGGGAGCGAACAGG